rnacentral:rRNA from 1 species
GGCGGCGCACAUAAGACAUGCAAGUCGAACUGACUUAACCUAAAAGUUUACUUUUUGGAGCGGUUAGUGGCGGACUGGUGAGUAACAUGUAAGCAAUCUGCCUAUCAGAGGGGAAUAACAGUGAGAAAUCACUGCUAAUACCGCAUAUGCCAUAGUUAUCGCAUGAUAAUAGUGGGAAAGGAGCAAUCCGCUGAUAGAUGAGCUUGCACCUGAUUAGCUAGUUGGUGGGGUAAAGGCCUACCAAGGCGACGAUCAGUAGCCGGACUGAGAGGUUGAACGGCCACAUUGGGACUGAGAUACGGCCCAGACUCCUACGGGAGGCAGCAGUCGGGAAUAUUGCGCAAUGGAGGAAACUCUGACGCAGUGACGCCGCGUAUGGGAAGAAGGUUUUCGGAUUGUAAACCAUUUUAGACAGGGAAGAAACAAGACAGUACCUGUAGAAUAAGCUCCGGCUAACUACGUGCCAGCAGCCGCGGUAAUACGUAGGGAGCAAGCGUUAUCCGGAUUUAUUGGGUGUAAAGGGUGCGUAGACGGGAAUACAAGUUGGUUGUGAAAUCCCUCGGCUUAACUGAGGAACUGCAACCAAAACUGUAUUUCUUGAGUGCUGGAGAGGAAAGUGGAAUUCCUAGUGUAGCGGUGAAAUGCGUAGAUAUUAGGAGGAACACCAGUGGCGAAGGCGACUUUCUGGACAGUAACUGACGUUGAGGCACGAAAGUGUGGGGAGCAAACAGGAUUAGAUACCCUGGUAGUCCACACCGUAAACGAUGGAUACUAGGUGUAGGGGAUAUUAAGUCCUCUGUGCCGUCGCAA